rnacentral:misc_RNA from 1 species
UCCGAGUUGACCCCGGCAGUCUCAUAUGAGUUCCCACCAUUACGUGCUGGCAACAUACGACGAGGGUUGCGCUCGUUGCGGGACUUAACCCAACAUCUCACGACACGAGCUGACGACAGCCAUGCACCACCUGUGAUGGUGUCCCGAAGGAAAACCGUGUUUCCACGGCGGUCACCAACAUGUCAAGCCCAGGUAAGGUUCUUCGCGUUGCAUCGAAUUAAUCCACAUGCUCCGCCGCUUGUGCGGGUCCCCGUCAAUUCCUUUGAGUUUUAGCCUUGCGGCCGUACUCCCCAGGCGGGGCACUUAAUGCGUUAGCUACGGCACGGGAUCCGUUGAUAAGACCCCACACCUAGUGCCCAACGUUUACGGCGUGGACUAC